rnacentral:ribozyme from 1 species
AUGGAGGCUUGUUCUGUAAAAGGGUUGGAUCCGCCCCUAGCAGGCUACUAUAGGCUCUCCUUCUCAACUCCUACUCAAUACGUCCACG